rnacentral:rRNA from 1 species
GACAGAGGUGCCGAGCGUUAGGCGGAAUCACUGGGCUUAAAGCGUGUGUAGGCGGAUCCGUAAGUACCUUGUGAAAUCCCACGGCUCAACCGUGGAACUGCUUGGUAUACUGCGGGUCUUGAGCCACCUAGGGGCGAGCGGAACAAGUGGUGGAGCGGUGAAAUGCGUAGAUAUCACUUGGAACGCCAAUGGUGAAAACAGCUCGCUGGGGGUGUGCUGACGCUGAGACACGAAAGCCAGGGGAGGCAAACGGG